rnacentral:rRNA from 1 species
UACGUAGGGCGCAAGCGUUUGUCCGGAAUUAUUGGGCGUAAAGGGGCUCGUAGGCGGUUUGUCGCGUCGGGAGUGAAAACUCAGGGCUUAACCCUGAGCCUGCUUCCGAUACGGGCAGACUAGAGGUAUGGCAGGGGAGAAUGGAAUUCCUGGUGUAGCGGUGAAAUGCGCAGAUAUCAGGAGGAACACCGGUGGCGAAGGCGGUUCUCUGGGCAUUACCUGACGCUGAGGAGCGAAAGUGUGGGGAGCGAACAGG